rnacentral:RNase_P_RNA from 1 species
GAGCGGGCCGGACGGCCGCGGGCAUAAGGCGAAAGCCUGUGCGUGAGGAAAGUCCGGGCUCCACAGGGCAAGGAUAACGGGUAACACCCGCCAGGGGCGACCCUCGGACAAGUGCAACAGAGAUAUACCGCCGGGAGGAGCUUCGCGCUCGCCCGGUAAGGCUGGAAAGGCGAGGUAAGAGCUCACCCAUCGCCUGGAGACAGGUGGAUGCUGUAAACUCUAUCCGGAGCAACACCGUGGAUGGGAACAAUACGGCCUGCCCGGCCGUCCCAGAGGAGGUGGCUAAAGCCUUGCGGCAACGUAAGGCGUAGAUAGAUGGCCGUCGAUUACAGAACCCGGCUUACAGGCCCGCUCAU